UACGGGGGGGGCAAGCGUUGUUCGGAAUUACUGGGCGUAAAGGGCUCGUAGGCGGCCAACUAAGUCAGACGUGAAAUCCCUCGGCUUAACCGGGGAACUGCGUCUGAUACUGGAUGGCUUGAGAUUGGGAGAGGGAUGCGGAAUUCCAGGUGUAGAGGUGAAAUUCGUAGAUAUUCGCAAGAACACCAGUGGCGAAGGCGGCUCACUGGCCCGGUACUGACGCUGAGGCACGAAAGCGUGGGGAGCGAAUGGG
rnacentral:rRNA from 1 species